rnacentral:rRNA from 1 species
UGGGGAAUUUUGGACAAUGGGCGAAAGCCUGAUCCAGCAAUGCCGCGUGUGUGAAGAAGGCCUUCGGGUUGUAAAGCACUUUUGUCCGGAAAGAAAUCCUUGGCUCUAAUACAGUCGGGGGAUGACGGUACCGGAAGAAUAAGCACCGGCUAACUACGUGCCAGCAGCCGCGGUAAUACGUAGGGUGCAAGCGUUAAUCGGAAUUACUGGGCGUAAAGCGUGCGCAGGCGGUUUGCUAAGACCGAUGUGAAAUCCCCGGGCUCAACCUGGGAACUGCAUUGGUGACUGGCAGGCUAGAGUAUGGCAGAGGGGGGUAGAUGUCCACGUGUAGCAGUGAAAUGCGUAGAGAUGUGGAGGAAUACCGAUGGCGAAGGCGAUC